CAGCCAGGAGCAGACAGCGCACAGCCAAUGAAGGUAGAACGGCAGAGAAUUGGAUGUGAUGAGAAAAACGUUGCUGUCCCUUGCUUCAGGAUGCUUCUCAAAUGCCAAGAAUUCUACCCUGGCUAGCCCCAACAGACAAGAUGGCCAAAGUCAUCACUGCCCCAAGGUGGCACUGCCAGGAACUCUCAUGCCUGCCGACCCCAUCCCCCUCCAGGUGUGACUGGCCCCUGGACAGGUUAAGAGAACACCCUUCUCGGGGAAGAAGAUCCAAGAUGACUGAAUAGGAACAGCUCCAGAGUGCAGUUCCCAGCAAGAACAGCAUAGAGGGUAAGUGCUCACCGCAUUUCCAAACAAGUUUUCACUGCCCACAGACCAGGAGAUUCCCGGGCUGAAAAGCGCCACAAGUUUUCAGUGUGGUGGUUUCAGCCGGCGCCAUGUAGGCCUACAGAAACUCACACGUCUGGGCUGCCUUUUCAGCUGGCGCCCUGAACGCCUGGGAGACAGAGCCGCCCAUUUAACUGAAAGGGAAGGGGCUAAGACAGGGAGCUGGCUCAGCGGGUACAACCCUCACAAAACAAGCAAUUGGAAAUGCUCUGGAUUGAGAGUUUCACAGCAAGCGCAGCUGGACCCAGGACCAUCCAGCUCAGUGGGAGGAAGAGUGUCCCCCACUACCUAGGCAGUUCACACAGUGCAGGGCAGAUCCUGCAGCAGGCAGCUCAGCAAUGCCUCUGCUGGCAGACUGAGACUAGACUACUCCGUGUGGGUUAGGGCAUCUAUAAAAAAAGGGCAGCAGCACAACAGGGACUUUUAAAUAAAGCCAACCUUCCUAGGACAGAGCAUCUGGGAAAAGAGAUGGUUAUGAGUUCAGCUGCAGCAGACUUAAAGGUACCUGCCCAGCAGCUCUGCACAGAACAGCAGAGCUCCCAGCACAGCCCUUGAGCUCCUGUAAGGGACAGACUAUCUCCUCAAGCAGAUCCCUGACCCUUGUAUACCCAAAGAGACACCUCAUAAAGGGGAACUCAGGCCAACAUCUGGCAGAUACCCAUUUGGGACGAGGAUAGAAGAGGAAGAAACCUGUGGCAACCCUUGCAGUUCUGCAGCCCCUGUGGGUGAUCCCCAGGCAAGCAAGGUCUGGAGUGGACCUCCAGCAGUCCUGUAGCAGAGGAACCUGACUGUUAGAAGGAAAACUAAGAAGCAGAAAGAAAUAGCUUCAACAUCAACAAAAAGGACGUCCACUCAGAGACCCCAUCUGAAAGUCACCAACUACAAAGACUGUCACCACUCCUAUUCAAUAUAGUAUUGGAAGUUCUAGCCAGAGCAAUUAGGCAAGACAAAAAAAAUAAAGGGUAUUCAAUUAGAAAAAGAGGAAGUCAAAUUGUCUCUAUUUGCAGACAACAUGAUUGUAUAUUUAGAAGACCCUAUCAUCUCAGCCCAGAAUCUCCUUAAACUGAUAAGAAACUUCAGCAAAGUCUCAGGAUACAAAAUCAAUGUGCAGAAAUCACAAGCAUUUCUAUACACCAAUAACAGAGUAAUGGAGAGCCAAAUCAUGAGCGAACUCUCAUUCACAAUUGCUACAAAGAGAAUAAAAUACCUAGGAAUACUAACAAAGGAUGUAAAGGACCUCUUUAAGGAGAGCUACAAACCACUGCUCAAGGAAAUAAGAGAGAACACAAACAAAUGGAGAAACAUUCCAUGCUUAUGGUUAGGAAGAAUCAAUAUCCUGAAAAUGGCCAUACUGCCCAAAGUAAUCUACAGAUUCAACACUAUCUUCAUCAGGCUACCAGUGGCCUUCUUUAUAGAACUGGAAAAGAAUGACCUUAAACUUCAUAUGGAACCAAAAGAGAGCCCAUAUAGCCAAGACAAUCCUAAGCAAAAAGAACAAAGCCAGAGGCAUCAUGCUACUUGACUUAAAACUAUACUACAAGACUACAGUAAACAAAACAGCAUGGUACUGGUACCAAAACAGAAAUGUAGAACAAUGGAACAGAACAGAGGCCUCGGAGGUAAUGCCACACAUCUACAAUCAUUUGAUCUUUGACAAACCUGACAAAAACAAGCAAUGGGGAAAGGAUUUCCUCCUUAAUAAAUGGUGUUGGGAAAACUGGCUAGAAGUAUGCAGAAAGCAGAAACUGGACUCCUUCCUGACACCUUACACUAAAAUUAACUCCAGUUGUAUUAAAGACUUAAACAUAAGACCUAACACCAUAAAAACACUAGAAGAAAACCUAGGCAAAAUCAUUCAGGACAUAGGCAUAGGUGAGGACUUCAUGACUAAAACACCAAAAGUAUUGGCAACAAAAGCCAAAAUAGACAAAUGGGACCUAAUUAAACUUCAGAGCUUCUGUACAGCAAAAGAAACAUGAUUAGAGUGAACCAGCAACUAGCAGAAUGGAAAAAAAAUUUUGCAGUCUAUCCAUCUGACAAAGGGCUAAUAUCCAGAAUCUACAAAGAACUAAAACAGAUUUACAAGAAAAAAAAUAAACAAACCCAUCCAAAAGUGGGAGAAGGAUAUGGACAGACACUUUUCAAAAGAAGACAUAUAUGAGGCCAACAAACAUAUGAAAUAAUGCUUGAGAUCACUAAUUAUUAGAGAAAUGCAAAUCAAAGCCACAUUUAGAUACCACCUCAUACCAGUUGGAAUGGUGAUCCUUAAAAAAUCUGGGGACAACAGAUGCUGGAGAGGAUGUGGAGAAAUAGGAACACUUUUACACUGUUGGUGGGAGUGUAAACUAGUUCAACCAUAGUGGAAGACAGUGUGGUGCUUCCUCAAGGCCCUAGAAAUAGAAAUUCCAUUUGACCCAGCAAUCCCAUCACUGGGUAUAUACCCACAGGAUUAUUAAUCAUUCCAUUAUAAGGACACAUGCACAUGUAUGUUCAGAGCGGCACUGUUUACAAUAGCAAAGACCUGGAACUAACCCAAAUGCCCAUCGACGAUAGACUAGGCAAGAAAAAUGUGGCACAUAUACACCAUGGAAUACUAUGCAGCCAUAAGAAAUGAUGAGUUUGUGUCCUUUGUAGGGACAUGGAUGAAUCUGGAAACCAUCAUUCUCAGCAAACUGACACAAGAACAGAAAAUCAAACACCGCAUGUUCUCACUUGUAGGCAGAUGCUGAACAAUGAGAACACAUGGACAGAGGGAGGGGAGCAUCACACACUGGGGUUUGUUGUGGAGGGGGGGCCAAGGGAGGGACAGCGGGGGGAGGGGUGGGGAGGUCAGCAAGGGAUAACAUGGGGAGAAAUGCCAGAUGUGGGUGAUGGAAGGAUGGAGGCAGCAAACCACAUUGCAUGUGUGUACCUAUGCAACAAUACUGCAUGCAUGAUCUGCACAAGUACCCUAGAACCUAAAGUACAAUAAAAAAAGAGAACACCCUUCUGUGGUAUGAACCUGGACACUUGCUCUCCUCUCUCCCAUGUUUAGCCAUAACUCUGAUGUUCCCGACUUCAAUUCUUUUAUCACUCACAUGUAUGCUCAUUCCACAAAUAUUUCUUGAGCUUCUACCAUGUGCCAAAUACUCUGGAGAUGUAGAUUAAGGAAAUA